UCUUACAAAUGAGCAAAGAAAGUGGUUUCUUGAGAUGGAAACUACUGCUGGUGAAGAUGUUGUGAA
rnacentral:pre_miRNA from 2 species